GACGAACGCUGGCGGCGUGCUUAACACAUGCAAGUCGAACGAAGUGGCGCGCGGGUGAGUAAUACGUGGGUAACCUGCCCUCCUGUUGGGGAUAAGCCUUGGAAACGGGGUCUAAUUCCGACUAACGGGGGUUGGGCUCGCGGCCUAGCAGCUUGUUGGGGGGGAGAGGGCCGACCAAGGCGGUGAGGGGUAGCCGGCCGGGGAGGGUGACCGGCCACGUGGGGACUGACAUACGGCCCCGAGUCCUACGGGAGGCAGAAGUUGGGGAUAGUGCGCAAGGGGCGAAAGCCUGAUGCAGGGAUGCGGAGUGGGGGAUGAAGGCUUUCGGGUUGUAAACCUCUUUCGCUAGCGAAAGGGUAGGUGGAGAAGAAGCGCCGGCUAACUACGUGCCAGCAGCCGCGGUAAUAC
rnacentral:rRNA from 1 species